GGGCUGACAAGCUAAAUCAGCUCUUCUCCAUUUACCCCUCCUCACCAGCACGACAGAGAGAGAAGAGAGAACAGAGGAAUGGCCGCCGCCAACGGUUGUGCUUCACAACGGGGAUGCGACGCUCAUAACAGCGGUGGAUUUUAGAAAAAAGAGAAAACGGACGGAGCACUGGUUAGGGUUUCCAAAAUCCGUUCACCAAUAUCAUCCCUCCGAUAGCACUCUAGAAAUGGUGGUUUAUUGGAUAACAAAUAAGAGGGUUAUGUAUCUUAGAACAAGAUAGAGAUGACGGUGAUGAUUCAGAUAUGGGAGUUCCGGCGACGUGUAGCAAAUCCUCCGGUCACAAAACUCAGGGCCGGCCUUGGGGGUGGGUGAUCCGCACCCCCGGCCGAGGCCUGAUUUCCAAAGGGGCACAAAGAUUCUUUUAUAUAUACAUCCAUCCGCCAAUAAAGAAUGAAGAUUUUUUAAUAGGGGCGACAUCUUUUUGAGCUAUGUUUCUGUACAAUGAUUGGCUGUCGUGUAUGCAUAUCCAGAAUUAUCCUAACUCACCUUAGCGAUGAGCAUUUGGUACUGGGCAAUGUUUUAAAAUCCGGUUUUUAUACCGUACCGGAUUGGGCUCAGAAACGGUUCAACCAUGUGUACCGGACGGUUUAACCGGUUCUACCGGAUGGUUCAACCGGUACUACCAGCCGGUUUACUGGGUACUGGUUCCGAGUUUUCUGUAUUGAAUUACCUUCAUUCGGUACCCACUUUUUGGCAUUUUCGAAACCGGUUUUUUUCAGUUCGGUACCGGUACGUUGCCAGUUUUUACCUUCAGUCUUACCCCGUGUCGUGUUAAUACCAGUACUCAGGAGAAAAAAGGUGGCAGACGGGAGGCGCGUAUCGGUCAGCUUGUAGGAGAAAAUAGGUUGCUCAAACUUGUGGUAUGUUUUCUUUCAUACUACAUACCUUCUACAUUGUGAAUAAACUAUAGCCUAUUGAUACCUUCAUUAAAUUAGAGUUGUUCACUUUGCAAUGAAAAUUAUAGUUUGAACUGCUAACUACGGUUUUGGAAUAUGGCAAACCAAACUGGGUUGGUUGGGUUGCCCAGACUGGCCAAACUAGCCUAAAGAGUUUGGAAAAAAAACUGGCAAAGGAAAAUCGUCUCGGACCUGCUAAACCAACCUUAAAUCGUGGAUGGUACCGUAUAGACACACUACUUCAAAUGACAGGAUGAAUCCCAGGAUUUGUACAAAAGGCAACAGUUGAGAGAGUUGGCUAUUCUAAAGAAUAACCUUCGAUGGCACAACACACAGCCAAAAGGCAGUGUGUCUCCUUUUGGUUCCAAUAGAAUAAAACGUGCCAAGACCAGGUUCCGAGGAACCCGACAUCGUACUCGGGCUACUUUAAAA